GUGUGAAAGUGUAAAUAAUUUAACUAUUUGUUCUUCAACAUUUUUACAGAUUUAUAUUAUAAAAUUCACAAAUCUUGAUACAAUAGAAAUUUAGAACAUAAAUAAAAAUAAAUGUUACAUAUAGCUUCAAUCCAUAUCAGAUUUCAUAUUGUCGUUAUUUCGAACGUUCUUUUAAAAACUGUACUAUAUAAUUAAUCGAUCGUGGUGUUACUCAAUGUUAAUUAUUUCAUUGUAAGAGAAGUGUGUAAAGUCGGUGUAAAAUAGAGUUAUUUCGAAUUCCGAUAUAUUAUUGCAUCCCGCCUUCAGAAUUCAUCGCAGUUCGGUUUUUUCUACCGGCGAAAAUAAAAUAGAAUUGUUAGUAUAAAAAUAUAUGGAAAUGUACGAAAGAAUGAAGAAGAAAAUAAUGAGAAGUAGGGCGGGAAGUAAGUGAAUUAUGAGGAUGGUGAGGAAGAAAGAGGAGCGGCGGUUGAUAAGUAAGGGAUGAUGGAGAACACGAAAUCGAGAGAACAAUGUGAUUGAAAGAUACGCCAGUUUGGAUUAUUUUCGGGGAAGAAUGAAGAAUUGAUAAAAGAAAAUGUGGAUUACAGAAUGGGAAAGAAUCGAAAAUAAAUAAAUGAAUAAAAUAAAAAAAGCAAAAGUUUUUAUACUUUUUACGGAGAUUGUUAUAGAUUAAGCGCAUAAUGAUCAAAGCAUUCGUCGCACGGCAAAGCAUAAUAUAAUUAUUAAUAUAAAAUUUAUAAUAGAAAUAAAAUAAAUGAAGUUAAUAGAUA